rfam:Drosophila willistoni strain TSC#14030-0811.24 scf2_1100000003665 genomic scaffold, whole genome shotgun sequence.
AUUCUGGUUGAUCCUGCCAGUAGUUAUAUGCUUGUCUCAAAGAUUAAGCCAUGCAUGUCUAAGUACACACGAAUUAAAAGUGAAACCGCAAAAGGCUCAUUAUAUCAGUUAUGGUUCCUUAGAUCGUUAACAGUUACUUGGAUAACUGUGGUAAUUCUAGAGCUAAUACAUGCAAUUAAAACACGGACCUUCUGGGACGUGUGCUUUUAUUAGACUAAAACCAAGCGAUCAAUUGAUCGUUAUAUUGGUUGAACUCUAGAUAACAUGCAGAUCGUAUGGUCUUGUACCGACGACAGAUCUUUCAAAUGUCUGCCCUAUCAACUUUUGAUGGUAGUAUCUAGGACUACCAUGGUUGCAACGGGUAACGGG